rnacentral:rRNA from 1 species
UACACGACCGUACCGCAAACCGACACUGGUGCGCGAGAUGAGUAUUCUCAGGCGCUUGAGAGAACUCGGGAGAAGGAACUCGGCAAAUUGACACCGUAACUUCGGAAGAAGGUGUGCCUUUAGUAGGUGAACCUGUACAAGGGGAGCCCAAUGAGGUUGCAAAAAAUCGGUGGCUGCGACUGUUUAAUAAAAACACAGCACUCUGCAAACACGAAAGUGGACGUAUAGUGUGUGACGCCUGCCCGGUGCUGGAAGAUUAAGUGAUGGGGUGCAAGCUCUUGAUCGAAGUCCCAGUAAACGGCGGCCGUAACAAUAACGGUCCUAAGGUAGCGAAAUUCCUUGUCGGGUAAGUUCCGACCUGCACGAAUGGCGUAACGAUGGCCACACUGUCUCCUCCCGAGACUCAGCGAAGUUGAAAUGUUUGUGAUGAUGCAAUCUCCCCGCGGAAAGACGGAAAGACCCCAUGAACCUUUACUGUAGCUUUGUAUUGGACUUUGAACGGAUCUGUGUAGGAUAGGUGGGAGGCUUUGAAGCAGGGUCGCUAGAUCUUGUGGAGCCAACGUUGAAAUACCACCCUGGUGCGUUUGAGGUUCUAACCUAGGCCCGUUAUCCGGGCCGGGGACAGUGCUUGGUAGGCAGUUUGACUGGGGCGGUCUCCUCCCAAAGUGUAACGGAGGAGUUCGAAGGUACGCUAGUUACGGUCGGACAUCGUGACGAUAGUGCAAUGGCAUAAGCGUGCUUAACUGCGAGACUGACAAGUCGAGCAGAUGCGAAAGCAGGACAUAGUGAUCCGGUGGUUCUGUAUGGAAGGGCCAUCGCUCAACGGAUAAAAGGUACUCUGGGGAUAACAGGCUGAUACCGCCCAAGAGUUCAUAUCGACGGCGGUGUUUGGCACCUCGAUGUCGGCUCAUCUCAUCCUGGGGCUGUAGCCGGUCCCAAGGGUAUGGCUGUUCGCCAUUUAAAGAGGUACGUGAGCUGGGUUUAAAACGUCGUGAGACAGUUUGGUCCCUAUCUUCCGUGGGCGCUGCAGAUUUGAGGAAGCCUGCUCCUAGUACGAGAGGACCGGAGUGGACGCACCUCUGGUGUACCUGUUGUCACGCCAGUGGCAUUGCAGGGUAGCUAAGUGCGGAAGAGAUAACCGCUGAAAGCAUCUAAGCGGGAAACUCGUUUCAAGAUGAGAUCUGCCGGGGCCUUGAGCCCCCUGAAGAGUCGUUCUAGACCAGGACGUUGAUAGGUCAGGUGUGGAAGCGCAGUAAUGCGUUAAGCUAACUGAUACUAAUUGCUCGUGCGGCUUGACC